GGUUAUUUUCGUCUCAAAGCCCCUCACGGUUUCAAAAUGGCGAAUUAUCGUGGGACACUCGUUAAAUCAUAUCUCUUGUGACUCGUCCUGGUUCAGCCCUGACACUGGCCAACGCUCUUCGGAAUCAUGUUUUUCAGGGUGUCACCUCUGCAUGUUGAUAUUGUUAUUGAUUUGAACGUGAAAGCUGCCUCAUCAAACGUUCUCACAGUUGUGCGUUUUACUCCCCUUAACUAUACAACAGAUGCACGUGAAGUCAUAGACUGACUUUUAUUUUGUAUUAGUUAACUCCAAGGAACAAGCGGAACGAAAACAUCGUCAUGUUGAUGUUUCAGGGAAGGAGAAGGUGGUGACGACGAGGAGCUGCCGGAGGAAGAGUCUGCAGCUUUUAGAAAUGUGAAUUUUCAGGAAAUUCUGAUCUGUCUGAGUCAGAGCAUCUGCUGUAUUUAUCACUCUUCAGGGGAACAAGCCCCUAAAACUCAGUGCUACGGUUCAGGCUCAGUAAAACACAUGCACGCAUCAUAUCUGUUGAAAUGGUUCAAACAAGAGGUAAAGAAAACUUGUGAAUUGUGCCAUUUAAGUGAUAUCAAGAAAAAGGGCAAACCAUAUAUGCUGAGAUUUUCACAUUUAUAGACUGCCAAGUUAAGAUACAUGCAACCUAGCUAAAGAAUUAUUGGCAUAUUUCCAGAAUUCCACAUUUCCAGACUACUGAGAUAAAUGUGAUGAAUUUGAUGUGUAGCACAUUCCAUUGUGAUGACGUGUUCUGUGCUCUUCUACCCCAAGUUAAAGCGCAAUUUGUUUAUAUUGAGACAAAGAACUCCUAACAAUAAUUGCAGAUGAGCAUGUCUUAAUCCUUUACUUCUUGGAAGUGAUUAACAUGUAGCUUCUCCUUGUUGUAUUCAUACAUUUUCCAGCACAAAGGUAAUGAGAAUACCUUCAAGUUUUAAUCUUGAUCUAACUUCAAAUUCUCAAAACUAAUUUACAAUGAAAUGUAUAGCAGCUGCAAGGGAGAAGUAGCAUUCAGUCCUUGGAAGUUAAUGGGUUAUAAGCCUCAGAGAACAGAAAGUAUUAUGGUUAUAGUUGUUACGAAUACUUAAGAUUAAAAUUGUUAGUAGGUGACAGAUUCACAUGUUCAUGUAAAUAGGGUAUUGAAUAUUUGUUAACUUGUGAAAGAAGCUUGAUUAAAAAUAGGGUCAAGCAAUUUUUCAUUGUGUGUUAACCCUUUAAGCCUUUCACUCCCAUGAGUGACCAAGACAGAAUUUCUCCUUACAAUAUCAAUACAAUAUCAAGCAGACAAGUGAUGGGAUUGAAGAAAAUAUCAGCUAGGGGAAGGGGAAGGGGAUUAUUAGUUGAUCCAAUACCAAAUUCUCAAAACUAAACAUGCAUAUUAUGAAAAAACUAAACAUGAUUGUGUAUGAUGAAAAUUUGGACCAGAAUUUUCAAUAUCUGGUUGGGCAUUUAUUUGAGGUAAUAAGCUAUUUUCAUUUAAUUUUUUAAAGAUGUUUUAUUUCUGGUUUAAGACAGGGUGUGGAAUUUUGGUCUAGGUUUAAAAUAGGGUUGGAAUAAUUUUGUAUUUCAACCUAAGGCAGGGCAACAGUUGAUUUUAAGAAGGGUGCUAUCUCUGCUAAAGAAAAGGUACCGCUGAAAAAAGCCUCUAUUUGAGCUGUUCAUGUUUCUCAGAUAAAUUAUUUAUACUUUUGUUUGAUAUUGAGAAGGCUUUACCAACCCCUCCUUCCCCUGCCCCACCCCCAUUGUCUUCCUUUGUCCAAUUUUUGUUUUGUUUCAAAACUUUUUGUAAAGCUCUUUACUCUGUCUGAUAUGUCUAACCAUAGGGGCUGAAUUGAUAGCAACACAAAGAAUAAAUCUGCUUACAUGAUUUAUUCAACAAUCAUCUGAUAAACUUAGGAGUUCUGCUCUUAUCUACAAAUACUAGUCAGUGAAAUCUCAACUGUCAGAGUUUUUCAUUUCAUCAUGGUAAUAGUAACAGGCAAAAAAUAUGUGCAAAAACACUCCAAUAUUUAAAGCUAC